AAUACAAAGUUAUGCAUCGCAAGCAUCAAACAAGCAAGUUCUGUAAAAGAAAAAAGAUAGAAGAGUAUCUUGUUUUAUAUAUAAAGUAACUAAGGGAUAAUAAUGCCAUCAGUUUUGCUGCCAAAAGAUUCAGUUUGUAACCCUCUUAAAGAUUGAUUUUCUUCCUCCACCUUUAAGACCUGUGUCUCCGACUCCGUAAACUUCCUCUUACAACUCUCCAUCUGCUUUUCAUUUCCAUUCUUUACCCAAAAUUCAAUUCCAUAAUUCAAUGAAAAGGUUGCUAGAACCUCCAAUUCCAUAUGCAUUCUAUCUAACACUCCAAACUCAUCAUCUUCGCAGACUUCGUUUUAUAAUCUGAGUUUAUUUUAUUUAUGAAGUUCAAAUCAUGGGUUUGAUUCUGAUUUCAGUUUUAUAAUCUGAGUUUCGAGUUAGGUUACUCUAUUCGUGUAAUCUGGUUGUAUUGAUUUUCUAGGUUUUUUUUUGUUUUUGUUUUUUGAUCUGGUUUGUGUUAAUGGUAUUUCCACCAUUCAGAUCUAAAAGUUGUUGAAUUUACAAUGAGUUUGGUUUUUAUUUUUUCUUCCAGAUAUUGAGAAGAUUAGUCAAAAGCAAGGAAGCAGGAAAAAUUAGAUUCAGAUUCUGGGAGGUUCUCAAGCACAACAGUUUCACGGGGAGCCAUCUAAAUGACAUUGAUAAGAUAUUAGAUUGGUACUGGCAUUUGGUUAGGUUAAUUCUUCAUUUUGCUAAAAGGCCUUUCAGCAUUAUUUCAAUUUUUAUUUAACUUUUCAUGCUUAUACAAAAGAUAAGAAUCUGAUUUACCUAUCAUCCGUGAAGCAUCCAACGCAAUUGCAUUAGGGAUAUGAACUCCGGUGAGAUUUUGGCAAAGCAAAAGUUUCAUUAAUACCAAAUUCGGUAGAAGAUUCUAGCUUUAUUAUGAUUUGCUAAUUGCUAUUAAGGUUACUAGGGGUAAAUGGUGCGCUAAUACUUUCAGUUUUACUAAGACUUAUAUCUAAGUGAUUUUUUUGUUUUGGUAUAAAGGUUGAUGGGAGGUCAAAUGCUUAAACUUGGGGUUGCAAAACAUCCAAACUCGUAUUUAAAUGGUGUUGGAAUUUAUGUUAGCAUCUCACCUUCUUUGGGCUCAGAUCAAGAUUGGAUUUGAUCUUGUACUAGGUACCUCCCAUGUAGACGAUGGAUUGUGCGGUCACAUAACUAAGUAUGAUUGCAUCUAUGGAGAUUCAAAUGCCAAUUAAUAGAAGCAUUGAUAAGCAGGAUCUUCGAGCACUUAUGAAGUGGGAUGAUGUCCAUCUCGAUUUUCCAUGUUGGAAGAAAUUGAAGCGUCCCCUCCAACUGAUAAGUUGGAGCAUAUACAAUUAAAUUAUAGUCAGACAUGGUGAAGAUCCCUUAAUAUUCCAAAUAAUCUUAUGCCAUAUAUCCAACAUGUAGCUGUUGGUAGAUUGCUUGAGUUGAAUGUACACAGAAGGAUGGUAUUAUGGAGGAGUCUGCUGCAAUCAGGGCUGCAGGAAAGGCGUGGUACCAAACUAUGAUCUCAGACAGAAGUGGCUUGGAGUGUCUCAGUGAUUCUCUUGCAGUCAUAGUUCAGUGAUUCAAAGUACAAAAUACAACCUUUUGUACUUUGAAUUGUGCUUGGUUAAAUUUCAUAAUGAAUAGAACUACCUUUUGUUUUUGGAUAGUUUGCGGAUUGAGAAAUUGUAGGCCUAUAUUUCAGGUUUCAUUGUAUUGCAGGCCUGUGUUUCUGUAUAAAAGUGUGUUGCAGGCCUGUAAACUGGAAAUCCAGGCCCCUGAUAAUGGACCUGGACUAUCCGUUUUUUAAUUGUAAUUUAAAGAGUUUGUAUAUUUGUAACAAAAAGUGUUAGUUAAAAAGAUCACGUGUCAUCAUCUCAGUGUUGAUGUAAGAGGAUGAUACGUGUCAUUCAAACAUUUGUUACAAGCAAUAGGUAACACUAAUAGAUGUUACGAUAACCGUGACAAAAGAGACAAGUGUCUUCUAUUGAA